UACGUAGGGACCAAGCGUUGUUCGGAUUUACUGGGCGUAAAGGGCGCGUAGGCGGCGUGACAAGUCACUUGUGAAAUCUCUGAGCUUAACUCAGAACGGCCAAGUGAAACUGUUGUGCUAGAGUGCAGAAGGGGCAAUCGGAAUUCUUGGUGUAGCGGUGAAAUGCGUAGAUAUCAGGAGGAACACCGGUGGCGAAGGCGGAUCUCUGGGCCUUACCUGACGCUGAGGCGCGAAAGCUAGGGGAGCAAACAGG
rnacentral:rRNA from 1 species